GACGGAGACACGCAAAAAUCUACCAAAACGUUCCACCACCUCAGCUUGAAAAUAUUCCUUCUCGCCAUUUGUAACCGUAAAGGUAAGAUAGUAAACAUCGUAUAUGCCGCAGUCAUCUUCAUUAACCUUGAGAAUGUCAUUGACCUCAUAUUUAGUGUCCUACAAAGAAUACAAGGGAGCUUUGUCAGCGUUCUAGAGAAAACAAGCAAAAGGAACAAGUAGAAAGACAAUAGGAAGUGUGACGAGCAUACAAAUUUCUGAUUGUACAGCUUAAGUGCCCGUGCAACAUAAUCCUUCAUCAUUUCAACAUCAUCAGGUUAUUCCAAGAAGUUUGGCCUAGGGAAUACGAAAAUUGUUAGGAUCGAUAGAUUCAACAACGUAAGCCUCAAAAAGAAAAGUAUGGAACAAAUAGAAGAUCUUAUUCGGAUGCAACCCAUUACAUGUGCUAUUCGUUCCUACCCGAGUCUUCAUAACCAUAGAUCGAAGUUCUCUGCAGAUACUUCUUUAUUGAGAGGCUUACAAAAGCCAUAAACAAUGUGAGGAUCAGAGGAUGCAAAGGUUUAAGGACAUGCAGGUAGCAUGCUACUCACUUUUUAAAGUAAAUGUAAUCUCAUAGAGAAUAUGGUGAUGCAAGGAUUAGUACUAAUGAGGUGUAGCUUAGUCAACAUCCUCCCAACUUCCUGGAGUGAUGUUAGAAAGUCUAUCAAGGUAUGCACUCCAUAAAAUUUUUGGAGAAUUCAGCACAUAAUUACUAAAUACAGGAACUUGUAUUUCAAGUGAUGUUAAAGUACUCCUUUUCCCCAAAAUAUAAUUACAGAUUCAUCUCAUUCCAUAACACCAAAAAGCUGAUUGAUAAGAUCGAAUAUACACUAAGGACAGGUAAGGUUUUCAAUGAAAAAGGUAAUUACUGAAAUAGAACACUGUUGAACCCUGACUAACAAAGUGAAACCACAUAAAAUGACAUCAUGAAUCACAAUUUCUAGUGGAGGCAAGUUCCUCAAUACAAGAGGAGUUCAAUUACACCAGAAUUCUACCUCUGAGCAACCAUGCCAAUCGGCGUUAUAACAGUAGCAGUAACAGCAACUGCAGCAGUCUUAGCAGUACAAGUACAUCUUCUAGUGAUAGCGAUUAGAAGACUUCAGGAACUGGUGAUUUUGAAGCAGAUGCUUAUUCUUUGAUGUGUAGACAAUCUGGAUUAUCUUCUUUGGAUCGGUCUCAAAAUGACAAUCUUAAAACGGUGUGCUUCUCGUAUAAAUUGAGAUCUCUUUAGAAUUUGUAUUUGUAUGGUUUGUAUGCUCUAUCUUAUAUUUGAAUGUGUAGUCCUUGAUUCAACCUUAACUUCUCUUACUUUCUAUGACUAGUGAUCUGAAGACUAUUCUUAUUAUGACUUGCUAUCUCAUUUAUUUUUUUUCCAAAGAGGUACAUGUAUAUAAA